rnacentral:rRNA from 1 species
UGAGGAAUAUUGGUCAAUGGGCGCAAGCCUGAACCAGCCAUCCCGCGUGCAGGAUGAAGGCCCUAUGGGUCGUAAACUGCUUUUAUACACCAAGAAAAACACCCACGUGUGGGUGCCCGACGGUAGUGUAUGAAUAAGCAUCGGCUAACUCCGUGCCAGCAGCCGCGGUAAUACGGAGGAUGCAAGCGUUAUCCGGAUUCAUUGGGUUUAAAGGGUGCGUAGGCGGCUUUUUAAGUCAGUGGUGAAAUCUUGCCGCUUAACGGUAAAAUUGCCAUUGAUACUGACAAGCUUGAGUACAAUUGAGGUAAGCGGAAUGUGUAGUGUAGCGGUGAAAUGCUUAGAUAUUACACAGAACACCGAUUGCGAAGGCAGCUUACUAAACUGUUACUGACGCUGAUGCACGAAAGCGUGGGGAGCGAACAGG